rnacentral:tmRNA from 1 species
GGUUUUCCGUAGAGCGUGCGUCUGCGCGAUACGGGAGACGAGAUUCAAAUCAGAACGCUAAACAUGUAGAUCUGCUCAAGGAAGGCUUGCGGACGCGGGUUCAAUUCCCGCCAGCUCCACCA